UUCGUACACGCUAACUUGAAAGUACCCAUUAAAUGGGUUCCAAAUACCCAUUUUUAUGAACAGUACUGAGUUGUCAGAAAAAGAGUAUUUUUCAAAUGUCAUAAAAAGGGUACUUUAUCCCCAUGAUGAAGCUUCUAAUCGAUUAACAAUAAUGGGUAAAUAAUACGCGUGGUAUUCUGAAGAGCAGCACCGCCAUUUUCCAGUUGCUGUUGCGGCUCUGUUUGCUUUUAGUGAAAUGAAAACCUUUUUUGAUGCGGGAAUUAUACACUUGGAGUGCAUUCAAAGCUCAUUUUUUAAAAACAUCUAUUAAGAAUUUGGAUACAGAUGUGGCACAAUAUUUUCCAGAGAUUUCCAAUAUGCUGGGAUGGAGUACCGAGGGAGAUUAUACGGAAAGUGUUCCGUAUGAAGAGGCAUCAGUGGUCCAGUGGGUGAUCCCCAGUGGUUAAUUUAGAUAACCUGUUGGAGGUCAACGAUCGGCAUUUUAUAAUUGAAAAAAUAUAUGAUUGUGACGAUAAUGUGCGAA
rnacentral:lncRNA from 1 species